UUCAGUGAUGAUUAGCUUCUGA
rnacentral:piRNA from 1 species